rnacentral:lncRNA from 1 species
AUCAAAAAGUAAAAAAAUUUGAAAUUCCAAUCCAUUUCAAUUUAGUCAUAAAAGUCUAAUCAAGUUAGUUGGAACUGAAAGUUAAGUCAAGUAGACUUGGGUCAAAGAUCGUGUCGAGUCGGUCUUUGUUAAAGGUAGAAGGUCUAAACCAUUUAGUUGUCUCUAUUUUUGGGAGGUUUUUCCAUUUUGAUCCCGUCUUAUUCGAAUUCCCAAUUAAGUCCCUAUAGGUGCUAAUUUCAAUCAAUU